rnacentral:rRNA from 1 species
UACGUAGGUGGCAAGCGUUGUUCGGAAUUAUUGGGCGUAAAGAGCUCGUAGGCGGUCUGUCGCGUCUGCUGUGAAAUCCCGAGGCUCAACCUCGGGCCUGCAGUGGGUACGGGCAGACUAGAGUGCGGUAGGGGAGAUUGGAAUUCCUGGUGUAGCGGUGGAAUGCGCAGAUAUCAGGAGGAACACCGAUGGCGAAGGCAGAUCUCUGGGACGUAACUGACGCUGAGGAGCGAAAGCGUGGGGAGCGAACAGG